GACGAACCGUGCGAACGUUAUUCGGAAUCACUGGGCUUAAAGCGCGUGUAGGCGGGGUGGCACGUCGGUCGCUGAAAGCCCCCGGCUCAACUGGGGAAGGGGCGCCGAUACGACCACCCUGGAGGGACGUAGGGGGACCUGGAACUUCCGGUGGAGCGGUGAAAUGCGUUGAGAUCGGAAGGAACGCCCGUGGCGAAAGCGAGGUCCUGGACGUUUACUGACGCUGAGACGCGAAAGCCAGGGGAGCGAACGGG
rnacentral:rRNA from 1 species